UCUUUGAAAUUUAUCCAAUGCAGUCACCGAUUUACUUACUUCUAAGUUGAAGAUAUCAUCCUUCAUGUAUCUCUCGAUGCAUAAUUUGUGUAUCACUUCAGCGAAGCAGGUUAGGGUUACCUACACAUCCACUCUCAAUUUCAAUCAUAAAUGUAUUCAUUGAAAUGAUUGAUUUAUUCCACUAGAUCAUCCAAUCUUAU
rnacentral:lncRNA from 1 species